rnacentral:piRNA from 1 species
UCUUGUCUUGUGAAAGACAUUCUUUUAGAGC